CACCCUGGCAAUGGGUAAAGAGACACUUUGUUAGUGAUGCUGUUCUCAUAUCAGUCAGGGGCAAAGCAGAUGGCAGCUCUUUGUUCAUCUUAGCUUGAUUGAUAUCUGGUUUUGUUAGCCAAAGCUGUUGGAUGCCUAGGACACAUAA